UAUAUUGAACAUCACCCCUAACGUUCGUUCUCAUCACUGUGAACGUAGAUGUACUUAUACACAGCAGUUAUUGCCAUCGAAUACAGUUCGUUUUGUUUAUCCCUCACCUGUACUGGCUGGACUGUUUCGUGUUCGAUGAGUUUUUGACUCUUGGUAACAGCCUACACUCCGCUGGUGAUGGCAGAUUCCUUCUGCAUAAAAUGAACUCUGUUCGACCAUGUAGAAGAGCUCCUCCUUAUCGUAGCACUGGGCAUCUUUGGCACUUGUCUUUGUUUUACAACAUUCAAGCAUACAAUUGACAAUGGUCAAAUUGCCCUUAAUAUUUACACUAGGGUUUGUCUUCAGAUAGUCCAGAGAAACUCAAACCCUUAAGCCGAGCUAUGGUAGUGUUUGACACUGUUGGAACCUUGUUCAAAGUAAAGAGCACAAAUGGUAGAUCAGUUUGAAUCAAAAGUUCAAUCGCACCUGCAAGGUUGCACACCUGAAUAGUAAAAACGUGAAUUCGAUCUGGACCCAAAAUGAGGAAAUAUUGGAGACUACUCUCUUUUAGAAAUCCAAGGAAGGUUCGGAAGUUGCAGUAGCUCUCAAGCUCGGCAGGGCAGAAGCUUUUGGCGGCCACUGCGAAUGUUUGAGGAAGAAGAAGCCUGAAGUUUUUGUCACCACUGACGUCUGCCGAUCAACAAUGGUUCUUGUUCUCUUUAGCAUCUCAGCACGUAAUACUAAGAGCAUCGGGGUAACUAUCGUAGUAAACUCGAAAGCGUCUCCCGAAUCCCUGUUCAAAGUUUGCUGAUCUCGACAAAAUUCUGCUGUCAUCAUUGUGAACCGCACUCGAAAACACGAAUGCUAAAAUUCGAACCGCAGAAGAGUUUUGCAUAUCCUGCCAAAUUCCCGGCUCAAAGGAAACACACAAGCACCCCACGUGGAAUGACUACAGUUUCAAAUGCUACGCAAUCGCCAUCAAGCCUUAAAGCCUAAGCCUGAAACAAAAUCAUGGUAAAGAGAUUGUUGCAGGGCACUUCAAUGAAAGACUUGAAUGGGUGUUUAUGGGGUUUAUUGUUACACGAACAUUUCCAAUGUCCAAUUCUUCUAGAUGCGUGGUAUAGGCCCUAGUUCUGACGCCCAGGUUGAUGGGAUUUUUUUCCCUCUCCCCUGUUGAAGGUUACGUGCGUUGGAUAGCGAAUUCUCGUAAAGAAACCACACCUGCAAAAGCAACAUCUGUUUCUUUGACAUUCUACAAUACCGACUCAAUAGAAGCUUAGCCGAUUCUUAUACUAUUGAGAGAGCACAUAAUUCAUGCAUUUUGAUGGCGGCUUUGGGGGAGCGGAAGGCUGGAACGUCACCAAAUUCUCCUUUUGAGGAGGAAAACGAGCUUGUAGACGGAAUGGAGCUUCGAGUGGCUCUGAGGAGCUGGACUCUGACAGAAGCACUAGCUUUGAGGACAAGCUCAACACCAGUAGCGACUCUGACCAUAGCUCCCAACCUUCUCAGGAGAUCGUGAAUGUCGACUUUGAGUAUUUUGAUCCAAAGCCAGACGAUUUUCAUGGUGUUAAGGCAUUGCUGCGCACUUGCCUGGAUGUGGAAACGUGGGAUAUCAGUGAUUUUGCGGAUUUAAUAUUGGCAGACAACUGUGAGCACUGUCGUAAAGGCUUAUGAGGAUGUGAGACCCACCGCACUUCUAACUGCUCUUAACAUCGGCCGCUAUCAGGCUGGGAUCCUGGAAGCAUUCCCUUAACGAUUCCGUGAGUUAUAAUAAGUCCAGGUUGAUUCUUUCCUUUUGCAGUGAAAGCUCAGUCUUUUUUCUUUCCUAAUGAUGUGUGAUUUAGGCCCUUUUUUCUUAUUCUUUUUCUAAGAUUUUCUAUUUAGAGGUAUCGUAUAGUUCUUAUAAAAAUAACAACCUGUAGUGAUCAUGUUGGAAAGUUGAAAGACAAACAUUAGCUCUUAAAACACAUUUUUCAUGUGUAGAAACUGAGUAUCUAGAACCAGAGGGUUCUCUUACAGAAAUUUGGUUGCAUGGAUGCAGAAAUGCAGUUUUAUGGCGAAGAUUUACAAAUGUUUGCGAAUUAAGAGCGCACAUAAAGCUGAAUCUGCUUUAGUGGAGGACUUUUGGGGUAAACAAGCAAAUGUGGUCGCUCUUCUAAUAAGUGAACGGUUGGGAAUUAUGCGCCUCUUGACUUGGCUCCUCCUCUUUACCGCAGUCUUUUUGAGGAGAUUUUGUGGAUUACAGAAGAUGAGUAGAAGGAUGUACUACGGUAGUGAUGCCCGUGGAUGCAAAAUACGAAGACAAAUCUUAAGAAGAGUUGAAGUAGCGUCUCGAAUCGAAGGAUCUCGUCAACGAAUGUGUUGGUUGUGCCCUCUGAGGUCUAGUACUUCAACAGCAUCUUUCCAUGAACUUGCUUGUCAAUCCAACAGUGACUUAUUUUUGUCUCAAUCAUUUCCAGGAUUGUAUUUAUUGAAGUGUAUCCUUUAUUGUCUCAAAUAUUACAAUGCAUAGAUCAGUCAGAAAUGCGAAACGUUACUGUGACCCAAGUACUUUGAUGAAGUGAUCAGGUAUUUGGAAAACCCUCUACUUACAUGCAGUUUUCCAGGUGCUACGGUAUUCUGUAAGCUGUCGCUGAACCUAUUAUCGUAGAUCAUAUCUCCAGAAUGCUUUUGUUUUCUUUGGAUCUCCAAUGUCAUGCAGUUUUUCUUCACGGUUUUUAAUGCCUGUGGGGAACGAAAUAGACGAUCUGUUCAUGUACAUUUGGGUCCGCAGUUCUUUGUGCUAAAACUUAGGCAAACGCACGGUAUUUCAUUCUUAUUUUCAGAAAGUCACUUGAUUUGAUUUGAAGCACAAUGAGCUUCUAGCUCAAGAUUCCUGUUAUCAGCUUCAACUCCGAAGCGCACAUGCAACCAAAUGUGGCUGGAAAACAUGACUGCGAAGAAGACUCGGAGGCUCAACUUCAAACACCAACUAACUGUCAUGUUAUGGCAGUUUGAAUGAAACCAAUACCUCUUCUCCCUAUUUCUCAAUCCAAAAAUCAUGCUUUUUGUUUGAAUCUUCAUUUUGUGCAACUUGUGAGGAUGGAAAAGACCCAUGUGUCUCUAAGUGCAUCCGACGUAAGCACCGAUCUUUCUUAAAGGUGAAAAUGAAGUGAAAAACUAGGGAAGUUCUUGUUAGUGAAAAGUUGUUACUCUUUUUUUAAAAAAUAUCUAUUCCAGACCCCCAACUUUUGCAUACGGACUACAGCAUUUCAAAGCUAAUUUAUCUUUGAUUUGUAGUAAAAGUAGUAACGAGUGAAAAAAGAGGGUAAGAAAAGAAGAUAAAGGUCUUUAAAGUCUUUAAAUAAAACCUUUAAAAUUCUUUGUAGCAUCUAUGCUGCGAUUUUUUUAUACGUAUAUUUCUGAUUAGAAAAUAAGAAGUAUUGUAUUGGGAUUGUAUUUUUUUUAAAUAUAGCACUAUGAUUUACAUUAGACUUAGUUGAAGACUUAGUUGAAAGAAAGAUUGAUUGAAUUUAGAGAAUUUUGUAAAAAAGAGGGUAAAUGAGUUAUUUGUUGCAACCUUAACAAU